GAAAUGCGAUACGUAGUGUGACUUGCAGAAUUCAGUGAGUCAUCGAAUCUUUGAACGCACAUUGCGCCCGCCAGCACUCUGGCGGGCAUGCCUGUUCGAGCGUCAUUUCAACCAUCAAGCCCCCGGGCUUGCGUUGGGGACCUGCGGCUGCCCGCAGGCCCUGAAAACCAGUGGCGGGCUCGCCGCCAGCCCGGUCGUAGCAGUAUCAUCUCGUCCAGAGCGUGGCUGCGGGCUCCGGCCGUUAAACCUUCUCAAACCCAAAGGUUGACCUCGGAUCAGGUAGGAGUACCCGCUGAACUUAA
rnacentral:misc_RNA from 1 species